rnacentral:ncRNA from 1 species
AAAUUUUUUAUUUAUAAAGUUUGAUACUUGCUUUAUGUAUUAUUUAAAAAUAAUUUUACAUGUAAGUUAUUGCGUGUUUAUUUUAUCCUAAAUGGAUUUAAUAUUAUUUUCAGUAUUUAAUUUUAAUUAUAUUAAAGAAAUUUAUAUUUAGUUAAUUUUUAUAGUUUUGACAAAUCUUGUGCCAGCAGUCGCGGUUAUACAAUAAGUGCAAAUAAUAUUUAUUGGUUUAUAUUUAUUAUAUUUUUUUUAAUUUAAAACUAAUUUUAUUAGGUGAAAUUUUAAUUUUAUUUUAAAUUUUGGUUUAAUAUAAUAUAUGAAAAUUAAAAUUAAAACUAGGAUUAGAUACCCUAUUAUUUUGAUUGUAAAUUUAUAACCUUAGUAUUAAUAGUUAUGUUCUUAAAAUUAAAAGUAUUUGGCGGUAAUUUAAUCUUUCCAGAGGAACCUGUCUUUUAAUUGAUAAUCCACGUUAAAUUCUACUUUGAUUAAAGCUUGUAUACCUCUGUCAUUGAAUGUCUUAUUAGGGUAUUUUCUAAAAUUUUUAUAGAAUUUAAUGUUAGGUCAAGGUGCAGCUAUAUUAAAGUAUUGAUGGGUUACAUUAAUUUUAUUUGUGGAUUUUUUAUGUAAAUACUUAUUUAAAUUGGAUUUGGAAGUAAUUUUUAUUAUAAUAUAAUUUUGAUUUUGGCUCUAAGUUAUGUACAUAUCGCCCGUCGCUCUCAUUAUUAAGGUGAGAUAAGUCGUAACAAAGUAGGCCUACUGGAAGGUGGGCCUGGUAAUAA